AUAUGACGUUCUUGUCUGACAUAUCACAGACAACUUUAACUAAGAAUACAGAAAAAUUAUCAAUUCAUUUUGCAUUUUACCAUAUCAUAUUUCAUUCUAUUGAUCAACAAGGAAAAAUACCCAUGACGUAUAUAUACAUACGCUUUCAAAACAGAAGUAUUCCAAUUUUUAUCUGUAAUUUGUUCCAAACCUCAGGAAUUCAACAACUACAUGAUUAUGUUAAACAACACUGGCAGUUUAAAAAUAAAAACAAUCAUUUACAGGAGGGACCUUAAAAUAUAUUUUUGGCCAUAAAACCUGUGCCGUCAACAGCUAAGGAAGGUAAUGAGUCAGCAUACUCUGCCUGAGCUACCAGCAACUGAAUUAAAAGGCUAAAAGCAGAUUUUAUACUCCCUAUGUCCACAGAGUAAUGACCACGGUGGUUUAUCCCAAUUGCCUAGGGACCGUCUCCACUGUAUCUGAGUUCCUCUGGUGCCGUGAUUUGGUCCACCCCAGGUGAAUGGCAUCUAAAACUUUA